rnacentral:tRNA from 1 species
GGAAAGGCCAAGUGGCGCAGUCGAGCUUCUAACUUGAUUGAGGGUGAGAAAAGCAUCCAUUUCCU